CCUGGUGACAUUAUAAAACAGUGUCUGAACUCACCCAGCUGGGGAACAGGCAGAGAAACCCCAUGGCUUCACCAUCCUCAGUGCAAUGCUAUUCAUUAUCACCUGAAAAACUCUAGGAAUCUACAGGAUGGUCCAUGGAUGCCACACUCAGACCUCCUCAGUGGUGACCUUGGUAUAUUGAACCACAAGGCUGAUAGAAGACUGCACCUCCCGAAAGCAGGCAGCAAGACAAGCCACAGCAAUCAAACCAGAUGUUUCCAGUUCUCAGCCAACGUCGCCUGGGGACCCUCCCAUUGAGAAUGUUACCUCCCCAAGAAGGAAGAGGAACUGAUCUUUUAUGAACACUUAUCAACCUAAAGCCAAGGAAGACAGCCCAGCAGCGUGCUGACUUAUGGGUAAAGCCAGCCAAAAGUCAUCCUCCAAUAUA